CUUGGCACUGGCGGAAUAAUCACGUGAUAAGACUGUGAUUAUUUUCCGGUGCCAAAGU
rnacentral:pre_miRNA from 1 species